rnacentral:rRNA from 1 species
GACGGAGGGAGCAAGCGUUGCUCGGAAUGAUUGGGCGUAAAGGGUGCGUAGGUGGUUUUUUAAGUGGAAUGUUAAAAACUCGGACUCAAUCUGAGAGGUGCAUUUCAUACUGAAAAACUCGAGUGUGGGAGAGGAAACGGGAAUUUACUCAUGUAGAGGUGAAAUUCGUUGAUAUGAGAAGGAACACCAGAGGCGAAGGCGAGUUUCUGGAACACUACUGACACUGAGGCACGAAAGCGUGGGGAGCAAACAGG